CGAACCUUCGGGUUAGUGGCGGACGGGUGAGUAACGCGUGAGAAUCUGCCCUCAGGAGGGGGAUAACAGUUGGAAACGACUGCUAAUACCCCUUAUGCCGAAAGGUAAAACUAAUUUCGCCUGGGGAUGAGCUCGCGUCUGAUUAGCUUGUUGGUGGGGUAACGGCCUACCAAGGCUUCGAUCAGUAGCUGGUCUGAGAGGACGAUCAGCCACACUGGGACUGAGACACGGCCCAGACUCCUACGGGAGGCAGCAGUGGGGAAUUUUCCGCAGUGGGCGCAAGCCUGACGGAGCAACGCCGCGUGAGGGAUGAAGGCCUUUGGGCUGUAAACCUCUUUUCUCAAGGAAGAAGAUCUGACGGUACUUGAGGAAUAAGCCACGGCUAAUUCCGUGCCAGCAGCCGCGGUAAUACGGGAGUGGCAAGCGUUAUCCGGAAUUAUUGGGCGUAAAGCGUCCGCAGGCGGCCGUUUAAGUCUGUUGUUAAAUCGUAGAGCUCAACUCUAUCACGGCAAUGGAAACUGUUCGGCUUGAGUAUGGUAGGGGCAGAGGGAAUUUCCGGUGUAGUGGUGAAAUGCGUAGAUAUCGGGAAGAACACCAGUGGCAAAAGCGCUCUGCUGGGCCAUUACUGACGCUCAUGGACGAAAGCCAGGGGAGCGAAAGGGAUUAGAUACCCCUGUAGUCCUGGCCGUAAACGAUGAACACUAGAUGUUGGGGGAAUCGACCCCUUCGGUGUCGUAGCUAACGCGUUAAGUGUUCCGCCUGGGGAGUACGCACGCAAGUGUGAAACUCAAAGGAAUUGACGGGGGCCCGCACAAGCGGUGGAGUAUGUGGUUU
rnacentral:rRNA from 1 species